UACAGAGAGGGCUAGCGUUAUUCGGAAUUAUUGGGCGUAAAGGGCGCGUAGGCGGCCACGCGUGUCUUUCGUGAAAUCCCUCGGCUUAACUGAGGACGUGCGGAAGAAACUGCGAGGCUUGAGUCCGGGAGAGGGGGGUGGAAUUCCCAGUGUAGCGGUGAAAUGCGUAGAUAUUGGGAGGAACACCGGUGGCGAAGGCGGCCCCCUGGACCGGUACUGACGCUGAGGCGCGAAAGCGUGGGUAGCAAACGGG
rnacentral:rRNA from 1 species